UUUAGUCGGCUUCCUAAGAACGCACCCUCGCUCUCUCCUUCCUCCUGAAAACGCACUCUCGCUCUCUCUUCCUCUCCAGACUGUACAAGAAAAUCUCUCGCUUUCUCCUUCCUCUCCAGCCGCUCCGGUCCUCUCUAGACGCAUCGCUCUCUCCCAGGGUUUGUUGUUGGGGUCGAAUACUUGAGACUUGAAGCUCUCAAAGGCCAUUUCCUUUUUUUUUUAAUUCCUGCGAUUCUUUGAUCCAAAACCUUCGAACCCUUUUCUGGAAUUUCGAUCCCAACCCAUCGAGUGGAAGAGAAAGAGGACAGACUCUGCAUGUUUGGAUGAUGAGAUUGGCAUCCAUUGGGAAGAAAACCCUGCAAUGGAGCAACAUUGGAAGAAGGGCAACUUGAAUGAGAAGUAUGAUCAGUGUUUGAGAUGUGAAACUCGUCAUCUUCACGAGCAGGAAAAAGAGUUUGUGAGAAUUUGGGCAGAUGUUUUUGAUAGAGAUUAAUGUGUUCUACAACCUGAAUGAGAAGUAUGAUCAGUUUUUGAGAUGUGAAACUUGUCAAAUUUUUUUUUCUUCCCCUUUCUUAUCCGGUUCAGUACCAAAUACAGUAUAAAUAACAUGGUCAUUAGUCCGAUACUGCACUAAAUGCCCAACUAAUUUAAUCAGUGCUA